rnacentral:rRNA from 1 species
CUCAAAGGAAUUGACGGGGACCCGCACAAGCGGUGGAUGAUGUGGUUUAAUUCGAUGCAACGCGAAAAACCUUACCCACCUUUGACAUGUACGGAAUCCUUUAGAGAUAGAGGAGUGCUCGAAAGAGAGCCGUAACACAGGUGCUGCAUGGCUGUCGUCAGCUCGUGUCGUGAGAUGCUGGGUUAAGUCCCGCAACGAGCGCAACCCUUGUCAUUAGUUGCUACAUUUAGUUGGGCACUCUAAUGAGACUGCCGGUGAUAAACCGGAGGAAGGUGGGGAUGACGUCAAGUCCUCAUGGCCCUUAUAGGUGGGGCUACACACGUCAUACAAUGGCUGGUACAAAGGGUUGCCAACCCGCGAGGGGGAGCUAAUCCCAUAAAACCAGUCGUAGUCCGGAUCGCAGUCUGCAACUCGACUGCGUGAAGUCGGAAUCGCUAGUAAUCGUGGAUCAGAAUGUCACGGUGAAUACGUUCCCGGGUCUUGUACACACCGCCCGUCACACCAUGGGAGCGGGUUCUGCCAGAAGUAGUUAGCCUAACCGCAAGGAGGG